UUUUUUUUUUUUAAGAUUUUAUUUAUUCAUAAGAGAUACAGAGAGAGAGAGGCAGAGACAUAGGCAGAGGGAGAAGCAGGAUCCAUGCAGGGAGCCCGACGUGGGACUCAAUCCUUGAACUCUAGAACCAUGCCCUGAGUCAAAGGCAGACCUUUAACAGCUGAGCCACCCAGGCAUCCCUCAAUUUAACUAUUUAAAAAUCUUUUUCAAAUUAGGUUCCUAUAAAAAAUUUUAAAUGUCAAUUUCUUCCUUUUAAAUUACAGAAAGAUACUAUAACUCAAUGAGUUGGUAUUCAAACGUAGAAUAUAAAUAUUUGAAUAAUGAUUUAUUAAACCCAACAAUUUAUUUGUAAAGGCAAUUUUUACAAUUAUUAUUUAAAUAGUAAUCUGUUCGCAACAACAUGGAUGGAUUAGAAAGUAUAACGCUAAGUAAAAUAAGUCAGUCAGAAAAAAGACAAAUACCAUAUGAUUUCACUCAUAUGUGGAAUUUAAGAAACAGAGGAAAAAAGAGACAAAUCAAAAAAAUUCUUUUUUUAAUAUUAUUAUUUUUUAAAUAUUUUAUUUAUUCAUGAGAGACACAGAGAGAGAGAGAGGCAGAGACACAGGCAGAGGGAGAAGCAGACUCCAUGCAGGGAGCCCGAUGUGGGACUCAAUCCCGGGUCUCCAGGAUCAGACCCUGGGCUGAAGGCAGGUGCUCAACCGCUGAGCCACCCGGGCUGCCCCAAAAAACAUUCUUAACUAUAGAGAACAAACUGAUGGUUACCAGAAGGUAGGUGGGUGGAAGGGUAGGUGAAAGAGGUGAAGGGGAUUAAGAGUACACUCAUCUGAUAAGCACUGAGUUAUGUAUAGAAUUGUUGAAUCACUAUACUGUACAUCUGAAACUUCUAUAACACUGUAAGAUACCUAUCCUGGAAUUAAAAUUUUAAAAAUAAGUAAUAUAGUCUGGCAACUCAAAAAUUCUACGUGCAUCCUUAAUAUCAGGCAAUUCACAAAAUAGUUACGUAAGAGUAAACUCUACUAAUUGGAAAUUCCACUUAGAAUCUCUUCAUACUUUUUAUUUUCUAUUACUAUUACUUAUCACUACUUAUUCUAUACUAUUUUAUUUAGUUAGCUGGGGCUGCUAUAACAAAAAUACCAUAUUUUUUAUGGGUGGCUUAAACAACAUAUAUUUCUCACAGUUCUGGAGGCUGGGAAGUCCAAGAGGAAGUGCCUACUGAAGCUCCACUUCCUGGUUUAGAGUGCUGCCUUAUCAUGUAUUCACGUGGUUCUCUCCCUCUUCUUCUAAGGGCACUAAUCCCAUUAAGAGGAUCCCACCAUCAUAACACGGUCUAAACUUAUUUCCCAAAGUUCCCACCUCUUAAUACCAUCACAUUGGGAAUUAGGGUUUCAACUUAUGAUUUGGGGGCAGGAGCAUGUUAAUUUCACUUCAUAACACUAAUGGGACAGGAUGAAAAAUUUCUCAAUCUCAUAAAGUGGUAUAAUUUUCUUUUAAAAAAAAGAUG
rnacentral:lncRNA from 1 species